rnacentral:tRNA from 1 species
ACCUGGGUGGCUCAGUGGUUGAGCAUCUGCCUUCGGAUCAGGACGUGAUCCCGAGUCCUGGGAUCAAGUCCCACAUCAGGUU